AGGUCAUUUUGGGGGUUUAGCUCAGUUGGCUAGAGCAUCGGCUUUGCAAGCCGAGGGUCAAGGGUUCGAGUCCCUUAACCUCCAUUGGGCUUAUGCCCUAAAUUGUAAUUAAGUAUGUUUUUAAGUAACUUUGUUAAAGUAAUUGUUGGAAUGUGAAACGCAAGAAGUUAAAAUUUCUGGGUUAAGUUGAGAUCUGUUGAUAUUAAGAAAAAUGUCUAGAAGCAAAAGCAAGCUUUCGAUAAAACCCGAAGUUGUUUCGCUAAAGUGCAAGGAUUAAACAGGAUUGUAUUUUUCAGCAGCCUAUUUUAUAAACGAUCUGCAUUUAGUAAAUAGUUUUUAGUUAGGAAAUAAUGUAGAUUACUAAGUGUGAUGUCUGAGAGAAGGACAAGUAUUGUAGCGAGCUUAAAUCCUUAUUAUCGUUGCCAGUAUUUAGUGGUAGGGAUUCGGAUAAGAUUGCCAGUUAUAAGUUGGAGGAAGGCAAAGAUUGCAUUAAAUCGUUAU
rnacentral:misc_RNA from 1 species